rnacentral:rRNA from 1 species
ACAUCUACAAACGCCAGAGUACUACGAGCCCUAGCUUGAAACUCAAAGGACUUGACGGUGUCCCACGAACCUAGAGGAGCCUGUUCUACAAUCGAUGAUCCACGCUACACCUGACCACCUCUUGCCAAAUUGAUGAUUAACAGCCUGUAUACCUCCGUCGUAAGCUUACCAUGUGAACGCAUAAAAGUACAGCCCAAGGAUCUUUACACCAAAACGUCAGGUCAAGGUGCAGCUUAUGAGGUGGAAGAAAUGGGCUACAAUUUCUAAUCUAGAACAAACGAAAUACUACAUGAAACAUAGUCAUGAAGGCGGAUCUAGAAGUAAGUAGGAAAUAGAGAGUCCUACUGAAUUUAGACAUGGGACG